UGGGACUGGCGCUUUUGCAUAACGCACAAUUCUCUCGCCUUUUACUAGAGAAUUCCGUGCCAGAGCGCUAUUACGUCCCGUUUACCAAUUUUUCUGUCCUCAGUACCUCUGAGUU
rnacentral:snRNA from 1 species